CUCAUCGCCUUUGCGGAGAUGUUCUCCCUUGUGCUCCCCAACUGCAGCUUCCUUCCCCUUUGGUUAAGCGGGAUUAACACUCCCCACCUUGAUGUUGUUGCUAUUGUUGUUGAUGUUGAGAUCAGUUUUCAAAGGUGUACUACAAAUUAUUAAGUAUUGGGAAAAAUGGUGGAGAUGGAAUAAAAUUGAUGUUGAGAUUUUAUAUGCAAAAUCCAACCAAUUCAGGAUUGAGGAUCCAAAAUAGAGUAGAAAAUCCUAAAAAUGCCAGCAGCAUUACGUGUGUAAGAAAAUUCAGACUCCCUUGUUCUAGUCUGACCUCAAGUUUGGAACCUUCUAUUUCAGGAGACAGUUGCAACUCUUUGGAUAGCUACAAAAGUUUAACUACUGAUGGAUAUAUGAGGCUUGCUCAAGUAGUUGAGCUUCUUCACUAUCAACCUAUAGGUUGACGGUUCGAGUCAUGUUGGAGGAAAAAAAUGACGGAUAACAAAAUGAAGAAGGCAUAGAGUCAAACUACUUUUGAUAAGAAAAAAGAUUUUGCAUAGUGAUAGACUUGAAGUGGAUAUCAACAAGAGUGAUGUCUUUCUACUUUUGUUUAAGAGGAAAGUUCAUGAAUAUUGACAGUCUUGUGAAAUGAAUAUCAACAAGAUCUUACACAAUUAUGUAUUAAUUUUGUUUUUCCUUCUAUUUUUAGCGA